GGAGCCAACAGCGACGGUUUCCAGACCUGCUGAGCCUGAUGACUCCUCUGGGAUUGUUGCUUCUGUGAAAGCCAGGCUGAAGGCCCCGCUGCCAGCCCCUUCUACCUCCUCAGCUCAGAUGAUAUGUGGACUUCAGCAUGUGGAGCCAGGCUGUCGUCAUGUUGUGUUAAAUUGUGACAAGCACAGGGUACAGCCCAACAUCCCAGCUGCUGUAGCUAUGGAGACCGAGGAUCACUGCCCUGCUGCUUUGGUGGCCACAGACUCUCAUGAGACCAGUG